rnacentral:rRNA from 1 species
CAGCUAGUUGGCGGGGUAACGGCCCACCAAGGCUAUGACGGGUAGCUGGUCUGAGAGGACGACCAGCCACACGGGGACUGAGACACGGCCCCGACUCCUACGGGAGGCAGCAGUGGGGAAUUUUCCGCAAUGGGCGAAAGCCUGACGGAGUGACGCCGCGUGUGGGACGAAGGCCUUCGGGUCGUAAACCACUGUCAGUGGGAAAGAUGGGUGUCGGCGCGAUAACCGCCGGCAUCUGACGGUACCUGCAGAGGAAGCCCCGGCCAACUCUGUGCCAGCAGCCGCGGUAAGACAGAGGGGGCAAGCGUUGCUCGGAAUUACUGGGCGUAAAGGGCGCGUAGGCGGGAUGGCAAGUCGGUCGUGAAAUCCUUCGGCUCAACCGAAGAACGUCGAUCGAUACUGCUGUUCUUGAGGAUUGCAGAGGAGACUGGAAUUCCCGGUGUAGCGGUGAAAUGUGUAGAGAUCGGGAGGAACACCGGUGGCGAAGGCGGGUCUCUGGGCAAUUCCUGACGCUGAGGCGCGAAAGCGUGGGGAGCAAACGGGAUUAGAUACCCCGGUAGUCCACGCUGUAAACGAUGACGACUAGGUGUGGGGGGGUUCAGUCCCCUCCGUGCCGCAGCUAACGCAUUAAGUC